rnacentral:rRNA from 1 species
BCAAUGAGCCGAGCCGCACUAGUGAUUGUGCCAGCAGCCGCGGUGAUACGGAGGAUGCGAGCGUUAUCCGGAUUCAUUGGGUUUAAAGGGUGCGUAGGCGGACUAUUAAGUCAGUGGUGAAAUCCUCCCGCUUAACGGGAGAACUGCCAUUGAAUACUGAUAGCCUUGAGUUUGGUUAAGGUAGGCGGAAUGUGUAAUGUAGCGGUGAAAUGCUUAGAUAUUACACAGAACACCAAUUGCGUAGGCAGCUUACUGGACCGACACUGACGCUGAGGCACGAAAGCGUGGGGAUCGAACAGGAUUAGAUACCCUGGUAGUCCACGCCGUAAACGAUGAUUACUCGCUGUUGGCGAUACACAGUCAGCGGCUAAGCAAAAGCAAUAAGUAAUCCACCUGGGGAGUACGGCCGCAAGGUUGAAACUCAAAGGAAUUGACGGGGGCCCGCACAAGCGGAGGAACAUGUGGUUUAAUUCGAUGAUACGCGAGGAACCUUACCUGGGCUUAAAUGUAGAGUGCAUUUUCUAGAGAUAGGAAUUCCCUUCGGGGCUUUCUGCAAGGUGCUGCAUGGUUGUCGUCAGCUCGUGCCGUGAGGUGUCGGGUUAAGUCCCAUAACGAGCGCAACCCUUAUCGUUAGUUGCCAGCGGGUAAUGCCGGGGACUCUAGCGAAACUGCCACCGUAAGGUGAGAGGAAGGUGGGGAUGACGUCAAAUCAGCACGGCCCUUAUGUCCAGGGCUACACACGUGUUACAAUGGACCGGUACAGAAGGGCAGCUACCUGGUGACAGGAUGCUAAUCUCGAAAACCGGUCUUCAGUUCGGAUCGGAAGUCUGCACCUCGACUUCCGUGAAGCUGGAUUCAGACUAGUAAUCGCCGCAUCAGCCAUGGACGCGGGAUGAAUACGGUUCCCGGGCCUUGUACACACCCGCCCGUCAAGCCAUGGAAGCUGGGGGGUGCCUGAAGUCCGUAACCGUAAGGAGCGGCCUAGGGUAAAACUAUGUGACUGGGGCCUAAGUCGUAACAAGGUGAGCUCGUACCGGAAGGUGCGGCUGGAACACCUCCUUCUAGACCUGCAGAAAAUGCCCGGCGGCCAUUGGC